GGGCGAGUAGCUUAGCCUGGUUGGAGCGUCCGAUAGCAAACCGGAAGGUCGUGGGUUCAAAUCCCACCUCGCCCA
rnacentral:tRNA from 1 species